rnacentral:rRNA from 1 species
GACGAACGCUGGCGGCGUGCCUAAUACAUGCAAGUAGAACGCACAGUUUAUACCGUAGCUUGCUACACCAUACACUGUGAGUUGCGAACGGGUGAGUAACGCGUAGGUAACCUGCCUGGUAGCGGGGGAUAACUAUUGGAAACGAUAGCUAAUACCGCAUAAUAUUAAUUAUUGCAUGAUAAUUGAUUGAAAGAUGCAAUUGCAUCACUACCAGAUGGACCUGCGUUGUAUUAGCUAGUAGGUGAGGUAACGGCUCACCUAGGCGACGAUACAUAGCCGACCUGAGAGGGUGAUCGGCCACACUGGGACUGAGACACGGCCCAGACUCCUACGGGAGGCAGCAGUAGGGAAUCUUCGGCAAUGGACGAAAGUCUGACCGAGCAACGCCGCGUGAGUGAAGAAGGGUUUCGGAUCGUAAAGCUCUGUUGUAAGAGAAGAACGGGUGUGAGAGUGGAAAGUUCACACUGUGACGGUAUCUUAACAGAAAGGGACGGCUAACUACGUG